rnacentral:rRNA from 1 species
UACGAGGGGUGCAAGCGUUGCUCGGAAUUAUUGGGCGUAAAGGGUAGGUAGGUGGUCUCAUUUGUCUAGGGUGAAAGCCUUGAGCUUAACUCAAGAAGUGCCCUAGAAACGGUGAGACUGGAGUCUUGGAGAGGGUCGUGGAAUUCCCGGUGUAGCGGUGAAAUGCGUAGAGAUCGGGAGGAACACCAGCGGCGAAGGCGGCAAACUGGAUAGGCACUGACACUCAACAACGAAAGCGUGGGGAGCAAACAGG